rnacentral:rRNA from 1 species
UACGUAGGGGGCGAGCGUUGUCCGGAGUUACUGGGCGUAAAGGGCGCGCAGGCGGUCUGGCAAGUUUGGAGUGACAGUGCUCGGCUUAACUGAGCAAGGCCUUCGAAAACUGCUAGACUUGAGCACUCAAGAGGGACAUAGAAUUCCGGGUGGAGUGGUGAAAUGCGUAGAUAUCCGGAGGAAUACCAGAGGCGAAGGCAGUGUCCUGGGGAGUGUCUGACGCUCAGGCGCGAAAGCUAGGGGAGCGAACAGG